GUACAAGAGCAUCGCGGCAUGAACUGAUGGUGGGCGGCAGCUGCCAAGCUGGGACCGGGUUUGGCUGAGAUCCAUGCUCUUUUGAUUCCCCACUAAAUGAUUCCUUGAUCAAAAGCUGACCUUCGCUUCCUGGCAACCCCUUCUCCUUAGAAGUCCUCCUCCUUAGGGAAUUCUGACCAUUUAAAAAAACAGGGGGAAACAGGGGGAUUUUAAAAACCACAGCAAGGAGUGAAGAUGGAAAAGGAGAGCAAGGCAUCUACCCAGUAUGGAUCCCUGGAAUCAACCAAGUGGACUGCAGCAGAUUCAGGCAAAGGGGAAGAAAUAGUUUCUAUGGCUGACUCUACAGCUACCAUUGAUGAUAUUGAAGGAGAACUUUUCAAAAUUGAGAGAAUCAGGGAUGUUCUUGUGCGGAGAGAAUCAGAGCUCCGAUACAUGAUGGAUGAUAUCCAGCUUUGUAAGGAAAUCAGCAGGUUGAAAAAGGAGUUACAGAAGUUGAUUUCAGUGCCAGAAAAUAAAAAAUCAAAAGAAGACAAACAGAAGGAGGAGGAGUUAGUGCAACAAAUUCAUAAACUUGUAGAGACUCGGGAUUUCCUUGUGGAUGAUGUAGAGUUUGAAAGGCUCAGAGAACGAGAAGAAGAUAAGGAAAUGGCUGAAUUUUUAAAGAACAAGCUUUCCAAAACCUGCCUUCUGAAAACAACUCCUGUAAAAGAAAAGAAGGUGACAUCAAGAGGACAACAAACCUCUCCACCAUAUGUAACAAAGACAAGCCUCAUCUUCUUGAAAGAGUGCUGUGGCUUCACCUGCUCAAUCAUGUAGGCUAGAGCUAAGGGGCAUGUGCUCAACACCAAGCACAAGAUCCAGUCAUGGGUAAGCCCUGCCCACUUCCUGGUUAACCGAAUCCAUUCAAAUCAUAGUAGAUUCACAAGCCUAUUGAGCAGAGAUGAGUGAUUCCACUGUGGACAACAUGUUGACGGAAAGCACACAGGACCCUAAAGGUCUAUAUAGGCCAGAGUUUGGUGGAGAUCAGAAGCAGACAACACAAGAUGCUCAUGAAAGAGAGCCAAACAAGGGACACAGACCCAGAUAUUUGAUACCAUGUUUUCCUUCUUAUAACUAUUGUAACAGGGAUAGCAUCCCAACCCACGCCAUCCCAAGUUAGGAUGUAGUUUUCGUGUUGGUUGCAGAUUUAUAAGCUCUAGUGACAUAGGUACAGAAAUGUACUGACACAGAUCCACACACACACUCAUCCACAUACGAAGUAGAAGGACUGAGCACUUCCUUCCAUUUCCUGAUACUCUAAAAUAGGAAGUACCAGCAGAAUGAUUCUCAAUAUAGUGGAUUGCUGCUGUUCAUCAUGUUGCAUCCACCCUGCCCUGCUUCUAUGAAGUUUCCUAGCAACUGUGGGACCCAGAGAUGUCUGCAUCAUCUCCACAAAGGUCACCCUCAUGUGCAGAAUGACAGAUGUGCAUCAGCAUUACUCUUAGAUUACUACACGCAGUGAUCUUAUCGACACAAAUUGAUUCUUAUGGCAAAGUCAAACAUGUAAUCAAGAACUGCUUCCAAACUCAUGGUUUUCCUAUAUACAUAAAAACUGCUGUAAGAUACCAAGGUGAAUGGCAUUGUGUAUGUUUUCAGUGCAACAUUCAGGAUCAAAUAUUUUGCUAUGUGGCAAAAAAAAAAUUGCUUCAUGUUUAUAUGCAAAGGGGUGCACAGAUAAGAAAAGGAUAGGUACUGAUUGUAAAGAAAAUAAUCCUAUGAAACUGUAAGGAAAAGGGUAUGUAUUGAGUAACCCAAGAAUUUGACUGCCUAUCCUUACAUAUUCUUAACAGCUCAUCCACUGCCUUCUUUAAAACCUCUAGGGAACAUUUCUUCAACAUCACCUGAACUAUUCCUCAAUGUUUUAACCAAAGAAGUUAUAUUUAAUUUUAAAUCAUUUUUCUACAACCCACAUUCUCAGCUAUUUCUAUGCGCUAGUUAAACCGCAGUUCAUCCUCUAUGAUAUGAUUUCACAUAGUUGAAAACUUUUCUUGUGCUCCUUACUCCAGCUCUUUUUCCUGAGGUGACUCAGAACGUUCCCAAGUGGCUACUGUAGGUUAUGAUGUCUUUGUAUUCUUCAUAGCUGAGCUACUGUAAAAUGUCAAGAACUGAGUGAAAGGAAACCUGGAACUGGGAGGACAGAAACAUCUUCUCCAUUUCAUUUUCCCUCAGGUCUUCUGCAACCACCCCAGGGUCAAUCUCCUUGGCAAGAAGCCUCAGACAGAAAGGACAAAAAGCAUUAGGUUAUGGAAGAGAGAGAAACUGCUGCUGCUGAUUUAUCCAUGGCCUAGAAAGUUCCAUACAUUCUCCAUAGAAGUCUUAUCUGUAUAUUGGGCAAACUAAAUCUCUAGCAUUGAAGGAAUCUUGCACCAUAUGCAAUGCAUUUUAGAAAGUAUGUUGAAGGAAAACUCUAAAAUUUUAUUGUGAGAUCACACAUUUACAAGGGUCCUUUAUCCCUCUCUACUGAUGUCUAUGGUAUGUAAUUUAAUUCUAUGUAUCUGAGACUGCCUCCAAGAUUUUGGAUCCAUACUUAUUAUUGAGAUCAAAUUGGACUCAUCCAAAUCUGGUUUCAGGAUUUCAUUUCAUAAAAUUCAACCAAUUUAAAUGUGCCAUCUUCAGCAUCUAUAUAAAUAUUGUCAAUUUUCUCCAAAUUGAUGCAUGGAAUGACAUGAGGGAAGGUAUUCAUUGGCAGGAAACCCAGGAAUCCCUUAAGUAAUGAAUUUCCUAGUAUCAAUUAAUUUGAAAAUAUGGAGUAUACCAGAGAAAAUUAUGAAAAAUUUCCGAACCAGAACUAACAGUAGAAUACCUACCCCCAUAACCCCCGAGAAUCAAGCCAAUAUUUAGUACUGUCAAAUUCCUUUAUAAUGAUAUUUUUCUUUAUGUAAUUUUAGAAGUAGCUUGCAGGCCAUUAGCACCCCAAGAUGAUUCACAUCCAGGUCUUCAUCCUAUCUCAUCUUCAUCCUGAUCUCCAUCCUAUUCCAUUUCUUCUAGGACUUAUUCAUAUAUGAGUUGAAUUCUUCACAUCACUAUGAUGGACACAUAAUUAAUUGAGCUUAUUGAAACCUAUGCGCUUCUCUUUCCUCAUCUGUAAAAUGUGUACAACUUAGUCCUUCUAUGAAAUCUGAUGAAACAAUAAAAUCUCC